CAGCAGCCACGGUAAUACGUAGGGUGCAAGCGUUAAUCGGAAUUACUGGGCGUAAAGCGUGCGCAGGCGGUUAUAUAAGUCAGAUGUGAAAUCCCCGGGCUCAACCUGGGAACUGCAUUUGAGACUGUAUGGCUAGAGUGUGUCAGAGGGGGGUAGAAUUCCACGUGUAGCAGUGAAAUGCGUAGAUAUGUGGAGGAAUACCGAUGGCGAAGGCAGCCCCCUGGGAUAACACUGACGCUCAUGCACGAAAGCGUGGGGAGCAAACAGGAUUAGAUACCCGUGUAGUCCCUGUCUCUUAUAA
rnacentral:rRNA from 1 species